UUUUAAAUUGAGAGUUUGAUCCUGGCUCAGGAUGAACGCUGGUGGCGUGCCUAAUACAUGCAAGUCGUACGCUAGCCGCUGAAUUGAUCCUUCGGGUGAAGUGAGGCAAUGACUAGAGUGGCGAACUGGUGAGUAACACGUAAGAAACCUGCCCUUUAGUGGGGGAUAACAUUUGGAAACAGAUGCUAAUACCGCGUAACAACAAAUCACACAUGUGAUCUGUUUGAAAGGUCCUUUUGGAUCGCUAGAGGAUGGUCUUGCGGCGUAUUAGCUUGUUGGUAGGGUAGAAGCCUACCAAGGCAAUGAUGCGUAGCCGAGUUGAGAGACUGGCCGGCCACAUUGGGACUGAGACACUGCCCAAACUCCUACGGGAGGCUGCAGUAGGGAAUUUUCCGCAAUGCACGAAAGUGUGACGGAGCGACGCCGCGUGUGUGAUGAAGGCUUUCGGGUCGUAAAGCACUGUUGUAAGGGAAGAAUAACUGAAUUCAGAGAAAGUUUUCAGCUUGACGGUACCUUACCAGAAAGGGAUGGCUAAAUACGUGCCAGCAGCCGCGGUAAUACGUAUGUCCCGAGCGUUAUCCGGAUUUAUUGGGCGUAAAGCGAGCGCAGACGGUUUAUUAAGUCUGAUGUGAAAUCCCGAGGCCCAACCUCGGAACUGCAUUGGAAACUGAUUUACUUGAGUGCGAUAGAGGCAAGUGGAACUCCAUGUGUAGCGGUGAAAUGCGUAGAUAUGUGGAAGAACACCAGUGGCGAAAGCGGCUUGCUAGAUCGUAACUGACGUUGAGGCUCGAAAGUAUGGGUAGCAAACGGGAUUAGAUACCCCGGUAGUCCAUACCGUAAACGAUGGGUGCUAGUUGUUAAGAGGUUUCCGCCUCCUAGUGACGUAGCAAACGCAUUAAGCACCCCGCCUGAGGAGUACGGCCGCAAGGCUAAAACUUAAAGGAAUUGACGGGGACCCGCACAAGCGGUGGAGCAUGUGGUUUAAUUCGAAGAUACGCGAAAAACCUUACCAGGUCUUGACAUACCAAUGAUCGCUUUUGUAAUGAAAGCUUUUCUUCGGAACAUUGGAUACAGGUGGUGCAUGGUCGUCGUCAGCUCGUGUCGUGAGAUGUUGGGUUAAGUCCCGCAACGAGCGCAACCCUUGUUAUUAGUUGCCAGCAUUUAGUUG
rnacentral:rRNA from 1 species